GUUAAAAAAACAUGUUCCAGUUGGUCUUUAUGGUAACGGUUUUAAGUCCGGCUGAAUGUGCUUGGGAAAGGAUACCAUUGUUUUCUCAAAGAAAGCCAACCCCAUGUGUGUGGGUCUGCUGUCACAGACUUACCUCGAGAGGACAGGAGCACAGAUUAGAUUGUCCAAGUUCCUAUUGUCUCGUUCACAUACACUGGACAGACAGAUAUCCUUUACCUAGUAACAGAGUGAUAGAUGGAUCAAUGUUAUAGGAAUGGUGUACAGAAACACUGAAUAUAAAAUUUGUUUUACAGGAGCCUUUAUCACUGCAAUAAAUUAAAUAAUGAUUUAAAACUAAUAAAAAAAAAUAAAUCUAAGUAUAGCCAACCACCUAAGUGCUAAGUUAUUCAGUUAAUUAAAUUUAUAAUAAUACAUUUUUUGCAGUAACUACUGUGGAUUAUUCAGUAUUAAGCGGGUAAAAUAAAUACUGAACACCAAUUCACCAUUUUUCUCAGAAAAUUUUUCUAAAGGUGCUGUUGACACGAACCAUGAUGUUCCCACCUCCAAACUUCACUGUUGGUAUGUUGUUUUUAUGGUUAUGUGCAGUGCUGUCUUUUUUCAGCAAUGGAGUCUUGCAGGGUAAGCAUGCAUACAGGCUAUGGCAGUGCAUUACUUAUUGUUUAUUUCUGAAAAUCUCAACAAGUGGUCCUUGGCUCGUGGGAAACGCUUCUGAUAAUUCUUUUCACUCCUCUGUCAGAAAUCUUGCAAUGAGCACCUGGUCGUGUCCAGUUCAUGGUGAAUUGAUGUUCUUUUCACUUCCGGAUUAUGGCUCCAACACUGUGUACUGGAACAUUCAACAGUUUAUAAAACCUGAAAAAUUAAUAUUGAAAUAUUGUAAUAUAGUCAAUGAUAUGAAUGUAACAUGUCACUUGAAAUUUACUACCCUGCUCUAAAUGUACUAUUACUACAUUAUUUACUAAAAUGCUGAAGACUACGAACAAUAUUAUUAGUUGUAUGAAAUUACACCAUCAUUUCUUACCUGGUUUUAACCUCCAAUUAUUAAACUGCAAAAAAUCUUCAGGAGAAUUAGAAUUUGAUUUCUUGAAGGACCCCAAAGACAUCCGGAUCCUUGAUGAUGUGUACAAGAAAUUCAGGAAGUCAAACAAGCGUCAGGCUCAGGAGAGCAUGUCAGUGCCUGAGAGUGAUUAUUCACUACGGGCAUACUGUAGUAUCCUGUACCUGAUUCCAAGAAUGAAGAUUAUCCUUCGAGGGCAUAAGGUGGAAGCUCAGUCUAUCACAACAACUCUAGCAAAGGCUCGUAUGGACACAUACAAACCUGAAUGUCUUGUAUCAUUCUAUUAGAGCACCAGAAUGUAAACAUAUAACUAAUGAUGCACUAGAAAAAGUUAUUAAAUUAUUCAAAUAUUUUAAAGGUCAUGAUACUUAAUUAUUUGUGUCAGAAAAAGGCAAUAAAAAUCCCAUUUGGCUACAACAAAAAGAGCAUGGAGAACUACGGAUUGAUGAUGUACAACAAAAACCGUCUCAUUAAAGCGGAAGAACUCGCACAGAUGCAGCUCAGGUAACUUGCCUCAGGUUCUUGCCUGAGGUUUCUGAUGAGGAAUGAUGCCUGGAUACUUGGAUGCCUGAAAACACACAAAGGGCAAAAGAAAAGAACCCUGGUCCAGUGUCAAGAUAAAACAAAGAAGAAGAAAUCCAAGCAAAUAGAUUUUGACAACAACAUACCAGGGACAUCAACGUUCACAGCCUCACCUGCCAUGUUUAGCAAUGAUAGCAGUUAUAAAAUAGUAGAAAGAAAAAACAUUAAAACACAAGCCAGCUCUGAACACCAACAGCUUCUUCAGGCCAAGCAGGAGAUAAAGCAGCUCCAAGAGAGGGUAAGAGCUCAAUACAGUACAUAGAGCAAAAAGGACAAAUGCAACGUAUUGUAUGUAAACAAAUUAAACAUAAUAAAUUGCAGUAAUAGUUCAGUGAGUUUGUUUCAUGCCCUGUUACUGCAAUUAAAUCUUGUCCUGUUUUUAUACAAAAUUCUUAUGUAGCCCUCUCACCAAUAAAUGUGGCUCAAAUGUGAGAAUUAAGUCUAGGGGAAUUUACAAAUCAACAAUAACCUGGUGAGAGACACAUUUCUAAAUUAUACUAUUCCUAUUAAUCACAACACCCAGAUCUCAGAUAUUCACUUGAUUUUUGUGUUUACCUUUAAAUUGGAAAUUACAAAUAUUCAAAGAAAGAAAAAAAAAACCAAAUUUACAAUGAACUUUUUUUCCCCCACAGGAAACCACACAAAAUUUGUAGUAGAUCAACAAAUGUAUUUAUUUUUCUCAGAACUAUUUUGUCUUUGUGU